rnacentral:misc_RNA from 1 species
GAUGAAGAACGCAGCGAAAUGCGAUAAGUAAUGUGAAUUGCAGAAUUCAGUGAAUCAUCGAAUCUUUGAACGCACAUUGCGCCCGCCAGUAUUCUGGCGGGCAUGCCUGUUCGAGCGUCAUUUCAACCCUCAAGACCCCUUCGGGGGACUUUGUGUUGGGGACCGGCACAGGGGCCUGCCUGCUUGUCUUGCAGCGCCCUCGCCGCCCCCGAAAUGAAUUGGCGGCCUCGUCGCGGCCUCCCCUGCGUAGUAGCACAAACCUCGCAACGGGAACGUGACGGCGGCCACUGCCGUAAAACAACCCAAUUUUAUUAGAGUUGACCUCGAAUCAGGUAGGAAUACCCGCUGAACUUAAGCAUAUCAAUAAGCGGAGGA